CUGCCCCGCGCCGACCGUUAACGGCCAGCACGGCGGCACGCGAUCGCGGGCGGCUGUCCGUUAAAUUUCCCCCCCCUCGCCCAGCGCCAUCUUGGAGAAGCUGCAACCCCUGGGGGCAGGAGGGAGGGCGUGAGCGCGGCUUGCAGGUUGAGGGAGGCAAGUUGUGAGAUUUUCCCUGCAGUUUCAGAGGAGUAAAGCCUUCUUUCACUUCAUCUUGAGAAGUUCCUACAUUCUGAGAAGCAUUUGUCACAGUACACUGCAGAGAGAUCUUCAUUCCAGUGAAGUCUGUUUAUCCAGUGAAGCCCUGUGGGAUACUUUGAUGAAAGAACCCUUGCCUCAUUUAGGGGAUGGAAAGUAAGGGAAAUAAAAAGCAAAAAAAGAAAAAGAGAUAAGAGGACUGAGGCAUGAUCAGAAGAGGGAACACAAAAUGGAACAUGCAGAUGGAAAAGAAAUAGAAAAACAGAGCUGAGCCUAAAGGGACUCAGAAAACUUGCAGCGAUAGAAAUGAGCAAGGCAGCACCUGGAAUCAACCAGCAAUCUCUGCAAGAAAUCUAAGGAACCAGCUUGACAGUUCCAGCCCUUGCCAGUAUGCCUCAGUCUUGAUGAGAGGAGGAGACAUCACAUCUGAUCAUGGGGAGGAUGAAGGACAUAUUAAAGCCUGUUCAGUCCUUGACUUCUGGGUUAUUUUCUCUGGAGCUGGCUUGUCAUGCUUUUUUUCCCUGAGCAUCUCACUAGAAGUGAUUUUGCUGUAUUUAACCACAUGCUGUAAGAAAUUCUAAAAUGUAAAGUAUUAUGUAAAAUGAUUUUCAGAGGAGCCAUCUGAGUAAACAGCCCAGUGAAAAUGGGAUGUGUUUAAGAAGAUUCAAAUGUAUUCCCAACAGGACAUUAGAAAGUUUAAAGGUAAACAAUCAGAUUGUGUACUGCCACAGUUGCACUUCAGGCACAGGGCAGGCACUACCAUGGAAUUAAAACCAGUUCAGGAACUUUCUAAAGAUUUAAAAGCUUCCCACAAAGGUAGAACACGAGCAGAACUUCAGAAAUGCAGUAGGUCCUGUAUGGCAUUUUUAAUUUGAGUGAUGAGCAGUUCUUAAUCUCUGUGUACUGGUUCUCUGGUGCUAAGGGGAAGAAAGUCAGCCUGCCAAGUUCUGUUGCUUGAUCUAACUAACUCUCUUUAAA